GUAACCAGGAUCAUUUUCUAUAUUAGGUUUAAUUUAUUUAUUUUAUUUUCCAUUUUGUUAGAUUUAUUUAAAAAGAAAAAAAAGGUUUAAUUAAAUGUUUUCCUCUUCCCCUUUAAUUUAUUUAACACCAACCAGGCGAGAACAAUAGUGUUCUCGCGUGACUCUGACGUCAUGUGACAGCUGCACAUCAGCGUCCUAAAUUGAUAGCACAGUUUAUAUGGUUGCAAAUCGCAGCUUAGGCAGAACCGCUGUGGGACUCUGAUGUGCAGGUAGGACUGGUCUGUUUCCAAAGAGGUUUCAGAUCUUUAUUGUCUAUUUUUCAAUCGUGUAAUUAUGUUAACUUGCAGCCGGGUGAAUACUCAACCAAGCGUUGCAAGAAUCACGGUUAGUCAAGAAGGAACUGGCCAGGUGCGUUGCAGAUCCCUCGCGUAAGGAGUGGCUGGAGGGAUCUUGACAAUAGCAAGGAUUGUCUGGUUUCACUGACCAGACUGGCGAGCUAAAAUAAGCAGGAUCCAGAAACACAAGACUUAUCAUCUGGGAACAUUCUUCCGAACUAAUUGGAGGAUCAGCUCAAGUCCCCAUUGAAGGAAGUGGAUUAUUUUGAGUUUUUCCAUCAUCAACAAAGACUGGUGGACGUCCUUGAUAUAAGGAACUUUAACUUGUUUUUCUUUAAACUAUGGACUAAUGUGUAUAUAUAUUGUAAAUACUAAAUACAACUCACUAAUUUGCACCAUC